rnacentral:rRNA from 1 species
GUGGGGAAUAUUGGACAAUGGGCGAAAGCCUGAUCCAGCAACGCCGCGUGAGGGAUGACGGCCUUCGGGUUGUAAACCUCUUUCAGCACAGACGAAGCGAAAGUGACGGUAGGCGCAGAAGAAGCACCGGCUAACUACGUGCCAGCAGCCGCGGUAAUACGUAGGGUGCAAGCGUUGUCCGGAAUUAUUGGGCGUAAAGAGCUCGUAGGCGGUUUGUCGCGUCUGCUGUGAAAACUCGGGGCUUAACCCCGGGCCUGCAGUGGGUACGGGCAGACUAGAGUGCGGUAGGGGAGACUGGGAUUCCUGGUGUAGCGGUGAAAUGCGCAGAUAUCAGGAGGAACACCGGUGGCGAAGGCGGGUCUCUGGGCCGUAACUGACGCUGAGGAGCGAAAGCGUGGGGAGCGAAC